AAAGAAUGGAAGUACUGAACAGUUUAAAAAACAAAAUAAAUGGCUUCAGGCAAGACCUGAUGAAUGUCUCUUCAUGGAAGGGAUAAUCAUCUUGCAUACUAUUGGUACUAUGGCACCUGAACACUAAUUCCUCUCUAAUUCCUGCUUACUCCCACAUGCACUGUGUGGAAACAUAGUCUAAUCACAUAGAAAAUGUGCAAAGACUUUCUAAAUCUCACCAGGAUAUAUCCAUUCAGCAAGAAAAGAAAAUCAUGCACAUUUCAGAUCACUUUGUCCUAGUUUCAUACCUAGCUUCACUACACAAGCUACACAUACCCUUAAAAAUCCAAUAUAUCAGCAAAGAGGUUCACCAUCACAGCAGCAAUCGGGAAAAGAGGAGCUUCAUAGUUUACAGAGCAUGGUUUGUGCUGUCAAAGUGUACAGGUCAAAUACUGAACAAGGAAUGUGCUUCGUCUCCAGUAUGGAUCAUACAUCCUCCUGCUCUUUUCCCAAAAACAUAUACAUAGCUGAUAUCUACAAAAUCUUGUAUAUGGCUACAAACCUCAAGGUUUUGCUUUGACCAAGUCUUCUCCUUCAUCAUCUUUUAUGGUACAAGACCAGUCUAGAAUCAAAUGAACAAAGCAGAAGAUAUCAGGAAGUAGAAGAAUCAAUUUUAAAUGGACUGGAAGUUUUUGGAGAAUACAAAACAUUGGUCUAAUACAAACCUAAGCAGAAAUCCCAUUCAAUAACUGCUCUAUUUCUUGUCUAUUUCUUUAGUCAUUGCUUUUACAUUAUAAGAUGAACAAAAGUUUGUUUAUUGUGUACUAGUAGUCCAAAUGGGAACAUUUGCCAAAUUAAUAUGAGAACUGAACUUUAUUUUUCUUUGCUAUCCUUCAGUUUUUGGACUUAUCCUCAUUAGUUUUUAUCAUGUUCUUUCAAAUCCUUUUCAGUGUUAUUUAUGAACUGCUUCUUUGUAAUUAAUAGUUACAUGCAUGCCUCUGUGACUCUCACACAUUUUUAGCCAUUCUUAUUUAAUAUUUCUAGAAAGCUAUAGUCUGGUGGCACAGAAAACAACAAUAGAUGGAACUAGACUGUUGAAAUUAAUGAAAGCUAUAACACUUUACAGUGCAAUCAUUAGGUCUAGGGACUUAUAUAAUACAAGGAAUACACUAAAACCAACACUAAAUAAGCACCCUCUUAUAUCCUUAAGGAUUCAUUUUUAGGAUAUCAUUAAAGGGAAAAUUAAAAAAUUGAUGACUUUCUAUCGUGAUUUUAAAUUGCAGUUAUUUUCAUGUAUUUUUAAGUAUUAAUUGACAUGACAGUAUCAUAUCAUAACUUACCCUAGCAUUUUAAUGUUAAGAUAGGUGAGGCUUCAUACAAAUGGUUUUAACUUCUAAGAGGCUCUGC
rnacentral:lncRNA from 1 species